CGGAUGGGAUGGAUCGAUGGACGGAUGGAUGGACUGAUGUUUGCCAGGUCAUCGAUCCAAGCCACUAGUGAUUCCACCAAUCAGAAUUAAGCUUCAAUGGUUUUGUUUUUUCUUUUAUUUCUCUUAUAAUUUUCACCCUCUAAUUCAGGGUAAACAUUCAACAUAUUAACCACUUAUAGUUUGCUAAAAUGAACCAAUAGUGUGCACAUGUCUGUAUCUUGGGAUGACAAACAAUGUUGAUUUGGGAGGUUUUCAUUUUCUUUGAUCAAAAGAACCAUUUUUCAUUUUCUGAGUGACCAAAAUGUGUUUUUUUGUGAAGAACCUACCAUAUGUUUCUUGCAAAAUUGUACCAAAUCAUUUUUCUAAAAUACUAGGCCAUAUUUAAUGCACAUUUGAUGAAAUGGUUGGCUGUAAAAAGUUUUGAUCGACCUCUCGUGAAAAAGAAAACUUCCCACCGAUUCAGCUGGAAGCGGGUCAAAUUUGAACUGUAGCUACCUUAUAGUUUGCUCUUUAUUUUUUCCAAAAAUCAUUUCUAGGUACAUAAGUAUCUAUUUAAUCAAAGAAACACCAAAAAAAUUCCAAGAUUCAACCACUAGCUAGGAACGGUCAUUCCCGCCGUUUUGACCGCAUUUUGAAACGGGCAUAAAAAAUUCAAAAAAAUCAAAAAAAUGGAAAACCUUCGCAUUGCGUCAUUAUAUGUGACCAAGUUUCCAGGAAAAAUAAUAAACUUGUAAUACGGAAAUUAUUUUAGAAAAGUGUUCUCAUAAAUGAGCUAUCAUGUGUGAAGAUUCAUGGAUUUCAACCCAAACGCUCAAUCUCAUGGUCACAUUCAUGGCAUAGUUUGUUCAAAUGAUCUCAUAUUGUGCACAAGGGUGCAUAUUGGAAUUCCAAACAAUGUUGCCAAAGGGAGUUUUCAUUUUCUUUGCACGGAAAAUUCAUUUUCCAUUUUUCGAGUGCCCAAAAUGAGGUUUUUUUGUGAAGGACCUACCAUAUAUUUGUUGCAAAAUUGUACCAAAUCAUUUUUAUAAAAUAUUAGGACAUAUUUAAUGCACAAUUGACAAAAUGGUUGGGUGUAAAAAGUUUUGAUCCACCUCUGGUGAAAAAGACAAAUUCCCGCCAAUUCAGUUGGAAGCGGGUCAAAUUUGAACUGCAGCUGCCUCAUAGUUUGCUAUUUAUUUUUUCCAAAAAUCAUUUCUAGGCACAUAAGUAUCUAUUUAAUCAGAGAAACAUCAAAAGUUUUCCAAGAUUCAACCACUAGCUAGGAACGGUCA
rnacentral:lncRNA from 1 species